UGCGGAGGGUGCAAGCGUUAUCCGGAUUCACUGGGUUUAAAGGGUGCGUAGGCGGAUAUGUAAGUCCGUGGUGAAAUCUCUGGGCUUAACCCGGAAACUGCCAUGGAUACUAUGUGUCUUGAAUGUUGUUGAGGUGAGCGGAAUAUGUCAUGUAGCGGUGAAAUGCUUAGAUAUGACAUAGAACACCAAUUGCGAAGGCAGCUCACUAAGCAAAUAUUGACGCUGAGGCACGAAAGCGUGGGGAUCAAACAGG
rnacentral:rRNA from 1 species